rnacentral:lncRNA from 1 species
CCUAUAGCUUGGUUAUUUUGAGGAUGUUAUUUAAGUGGAAUCAUAUAUUGUUUAACUUUUAGGGAUUGGCUUUUUUCACUCAGCAUAAAUUGCUUGAGAUUUAUUCAAGUGAUGAUUGCAUAUAUCAAUAAUUUGUGCCUUUUUGCUGCUGAGUAAUAUUCCAUGAUAUGGGUGUACCAAAGUUUAGCUAUAUACUCAGUGAAGGAUAUCUGAGUUGUUUCCGCUUUGUGUAUACUGCACAAAGCUAUUACAGACAUUUGUGCAGAGGUUUCUUGUUUGUUUGUUUGUUUUAGACAGAGUUUUGAUUUCUUUCCCAGGCUGAAGUGCAAGGGUGCAACCUCUGCUCACUGCAACUUCCACCUCCCAGGUACAAGCAAUUCUGUCUCAGCCUCUCGAGUAGCUGAGAUUAGAGGAAUAAGAAAUCAUCAACCCAAUGUGGAUGGAUAUACACUCUCUCAAAAAGAUUAUACAACCCAGCGUCCUUGUGCUGCCAAAUUCAGAGUCUUCAAGCUGACCUGGAAGCCUUCCUGCCACUCUUGCACUGCUGAGAUGGAACCAGGUCAGCCCGUGGCUUUGGAAGAAGCUGCUUGACUAAGGAAAGGAGAGCAUGUUGAGAAGGAGGCAGGAGAAGCAUGAAGAAAAAGAGCAUAGGAACAGUAGAGGCUUUGCAGGAAUUUUGAGAAGAAUCAAACUCUUCCUAUCUUGACUAUCAGCCUCCAAAGAGAAAGCCAAAAAAACAAAAUCUAUGUUAAUGUAUUUUCUGCUUCAUAAAGCAUCAGUCUCAAGGGGAAAAUGCAGAGUGGAUUACAUAGCCUCCUCAAGACAUUUCUUUGUUUGUUUGUUUUCUUUUCUUUUUUUUUUUUUUUUUUUUUUUUGGCAGAGCUACUAGCUGAGGUUUUGUUUUGGACAAAAAAAAGGAAUUGAAUUGUUUUGCAGCUGGAGGCAUGGGCAAAGGGGUCCCCAGGCAGUAGACUCCUCUGCAGGUGGGCCGAGGGCUAGGGCUGAGCCUCAGGUGGGUCUUCUGUUCUCCGAGCUCCCCUGCACAGCAGCCUCCCUCCCAGGCUCUCGGCAGUCUCAGGAACUGCAACAGCAGCCAUGCAUUUGGACAGGACAUCAGAGGACUCGGACACCAGCCUCUCAUCGCAGGUCUCAAUCUUCUUCACAACCACGGCCUUGGUGGUGCUGGUGAGGCCAAACGAGCAGGAGCCUGCAUCAGAGCCAAAGCUGGAACCCAAGCCAUAGCUGAGGCCAGGGCUUGUGAGGCCCCCAUACGCUGAGCUCAGACCACCUGCAUAGCCGCUGGUGGUCUUCGUAUGGAUACUCAUGUUCUGCAUCCCAGACUCCAGCUGGCUCUCCUCACCCUCCAGCAGCUUCCUGUAGGUGAUGAUCUCAAUGUCCAGGGCUAGCUUGACGUUCAUCAGCUCCUGGUACUCACACAGCUACUGCACCAUGUCCCGCUUAGCCUGCUGUAGGGUGGCCUCCAACUCAGGCAGCUUGGUGUUGGCA